UACGUAGGGUGCAAGCGUUGUCCGGAAUUAUUGGGCGUAAAGAGCUCGUAGGCGGUUUGUCGCGUCGAAUGUGAAAACCCGGGGCUCAACCCCGGGCCUGCAUUCGAUACGGGCAGACUAGAGUGUGGUAGGGGAGACUGGAAUUCCUGGUGUAGCGGUGGAAUGCGCAGAUAUCAGGAGGAACACCGAUGGCGAAGGCAGGUCUCUGGGCCACUACUGACGCUGAGAAGCGAAAGCAUGGGGAGCGAACAGG
rnacentral:rRNA from 1 species